CUAAAAACCUAGCCCAACAAACAUGAAUUUUACCAAAUUAACUAAACCCCUCUUAACAAACCAUUUUAAUAUUCUAGUAAAGGAGAUUGAAAAACUUAUUUGGAGCUAUAAAAACAGUACCGCAAGGGAACGGUGAAAUAUUAUGAAAAACUUCAAGCAGCAAAAAGUAAAGAUUACCUCUUGUACCUUUCGCAUCAUGGUUUAACUAGUCUAACCAAGCAAAACGUAUUUAAGUUUGACUUCCCGAAACUAAGUGAGCUACUUCAGGGCAGCUAGAAGAGCAAACCCGUCUCUGUAGCAAAAGAGUGGGACGACCCUCAAGUAGUGGUGACAGACCUAACGAACUUAGUGAUAGCUGGUUGCUCAAGAAACGGAUUUAAGUCCAACCUGAAAGUUUUAUAACCUAAGUUCAUCAAAACAAUCACCUAGCUUUCAGCGUAAUUCAAAUAAGGUACAGCCUAUUUGAAACAGGAUACAACCUAGCCUAGUGGAUAAGAUCAGCCUAACAUACAAUCAAGUGGGCCUAAAAGCAGCCACCUUUAAUACAGCGUCAAAGCUAAAUUGUAACUGAGCCCAAUUACUUAACCCAUAUCUUAAUCCCCUGCCAAUACUGAGUAAUUCUAUAAUAUUAUAGAAAUUUUUAUGUUAAAACUAGUAACAAGAAGAAGAUUCUUCUCUUAAAUGUACAUAUAAAUCAGAAAAGACAAGCUACUGAUGCUUAACACCUCUGAGCAUAAAGUAGUAACUAACCAAGAAAACUCUACUUUUACUGGUGUUAAUCUAACACAAGAACAUUCUAAGAAAGA
rnacentral:rRNA from 1 species